rnacentral:rRNA from 1 species
GAAAGCCGGAUUAAUACCGCAUACGACCUGAGGGUGAAAGGGGGGGAUCGCAAGACCUCUCGCUAUUGGAGCGGCCGAUGUCAGAUUAGGUAGUUGGUGGGGUAAAGGCCUACCAAGCCGACGAUCUGUAGCUGGUCUGAGAGGACGACCAGCCACACUGGGACUGAGACACGGCCCAGACUCCUACGGGAGGCAGCAGUGGGGAAUUUUGGACAAUGGGCGCAAGCCUGAUCCAGCCAUGCCGCGUGCGGGAAGAAGGCCUUCGGGUUGUAAACCGCUUUUGUCAGGGAAGAAAUCUUCUGAGUUAAUACCUCGGGAGGAUGACGGUACCUGAAGAAUAAGCACCGGCUAACUACGUGCCAGCAGCCGCGGUAAUACGUAGGGUGCAAGCGUUAAUCGGAAUUACUGGGCGUAAAGCGUGCGCAGGCGGUUUUGUAAGACAGAGGUGAAAUCCCCGGGCUCAACCUGGGAACUGCCUUUGUGACUGCAAGGCUUGAGUGCGGCAGAGGGGGAUGGAAUUCCGCGUGUAGCAGUGAAAUGCGUAGAUAUGCGGAGGAACACCGAUGGCG